UUUACUUCUUAUUGUUUGUAAAUGAAAAAGAAUUUAUAUUUCUUUUCAUUUCGAAUUUACAUGAAUCUGACAGCUGACGCACGUGUGUGUAAAUGUGUAUGUGUUAAUUAUUGUGUUUGACAGUGAUUUGACAGUUGGAUAUUGUAAAUUAACAAACAUUGACUUGGGAUAAACAGAAAUACGAGAUCAACAUUGUUUAUAACCUCACUUUUUAAUUAUGGAGAUAAAUCCAUUGAGUAUUAUUCUUGUAAAAAGUGACAGUAAAGGUGACAGAAUGCUUUUUCGUUAUCCACACACAACUAAUCAUGAAAGAGACUUGAAUCAAUGUACAAAACGAAAAAAUCCUUAUUCAUUAAUUAUAAACGAAGAUUUGUUGCAGUCGUUGCCAUUUCCUACGUCAAAUAUAACAAAUGGAAAUCUCACAGGAUUAUCAGAUGAAGUUCUCUCAACUUUAUUUGCAGUAAAACCCGAAUUAUGUGAACUUAAAUUUGAAUUAAAAGUAAAUAAUGUACGUUUUGUUGGACAUCCAACGCUUCUUUCAUCACGUGGAACAAAGGAAACAAAUUCCUCAAUGUUGUUCAAUGUCGUUUUUGCUCUUCAAGCACAAGCGACACAUUCGGUUGUGAAAUGUUAUUACGAUCUUAGCAGAAGACUUGGAAUUGCGUUAAGGCACGAGGAAAAACGAUGCGGUUAUCUUAGUGAAGAAAUUAAAAUGAUGGUCUCUACUCAUGAUGAAGCUGCUGCUCGAUCAGAAGAGGAGAGUGAUGGCGACGAAUCGCCAUACGAAGUGAUACUUCAAAAAUGUUCUCUCGCUCGCGAUUUAAAGUCUGUUUUCAACAGUUUAAGUACAACGGGAGUAAUUAAUAUUAUGAUUAAUAAAUGGAUUCAAGUUAGUUUUUGCUUGCCGCAAAAAGUUCAUCAAUCCCACAAAAAGGGUUUUAUUAUGAAUCCAGAAAUGAUUGACAGGUGCUUAAAAAGUUUGAGGCCUUAUCAUGGUUUAUUGCUAUUGAUUGAACAAUUGGAAUUAUUGGAAUCACUUCCAUCGGAUUCAUCGCCAGCGUUAAAACGAAUGAUUCAAAUGUAUAAUCCCUUGAAGAGUUUGCAAACUUUAGCUGCCGAUUCAGAUCUCACAUUGUCACAAGUUUUUCAAUUGACUGGACAUUUGGUUUAUUGGGCGAAAGCAACAAUUAUUUAUCCACUUUGUGAAAGUAAUGUUUACGUUGUUUCACCAGAUGCAAUUAUUACAAAUCAAUUAUUGGAAAUGUUUUCCGAACAAUUUCCAGGAUUGUGUUUAUUGCAGGUGCUGAGCGAUUUUUCUCUACCAACUUCAAUUAGUCAAAAAUUAAAUCCUCUAAAUCAACCACAGCAGCAAACGCAGCUAGUGAAAAUUAUUAUUUGGAUGUUGAAAUAUCAUCUUUUGUUGCAAUUACAUACUUAUGUGCAAUAUAUGCCAACAGUUCAUGGCCGAAUAAUUAAAGAUUCAAAGUCCUCGGAUACGUCGAGUCCAACGGGAACUGUGGAAAAUGAAAAUGGUCAUCAACAGGAGGAUAGUAGUUGGAGUCUGAGCGAUACACCAAAAGGUACACCAAGUGAUUCAAAAACAGAUAUGUCAUUGUCAAUUCAUAAGGAGGAUGGAAUUUAUGAUUUUCAACCGGAAAAUUAUUCAAUGCCAUCGGAUGAUAUUAUUUUAUUGGAUAAACUUUGUCGAUUAGGCUAUUUUCGUGGUGCACAUCAUUUGGAAGAAAUUAUGUAUUUGGAAAAUAUUCGUCGUUCACAAUUAUUACAAAUACUUGAUAAAUUUCGCGAUAUUUUAAUUACGUGCGAGAGUGAAGAUCCAGCGAUUGCACUUUUUUAUUCUCAAUUAAGUUCCCAGUAAAGAUCAACAAAUUAUUUUAACAAAAAAACUCUACAAAAAUUGUCCACCAAUGAGGAAGAUUGGUUUCCAAGCUGAGAAUUGUGGAAAUCCGUCCAGCAGCCAAUCACAGGCUAGAUAAAACAGUUGCAAUUCCUGUCGACAAAUUUUCAUCACUCGGUGGCGUCCUUUUGUUCCAGCAACAUUGUUUUUUCAAAAAUGAUUCCUCGGUGGUGGCUGGUCAAAAGCAAAAAUCACCAGUGAAAAUGAUCCUGAGCAUAUAAGGGUGUGCCCGAAACUGAAAAGAACCCGGUCUUCUUGUAAGAUUACUUUCCAAAUUUUCAUUUGGUUAGUAAUCCAGAGAAGGGAUCUCCGGGGACUUGACAGAAUCGGAAGGAUCGCAAGCUGUGGACAAUCCCUACUUUGAUUCCUGGGUGGUUACUAGUUAAAAGCAAAAAUGAUCGGUGAAAAUGAUUCUGAGCAUAUAAGGGUGUGCCCGAAACUGAAAAGAAACCGGUCUUCUUGAAAGGUUACUUUCUAAAUUUUCAUUUGGUUAGUAACUCAGAGAAGGGAUCUCCGGGGACUUGACAGAAUCGGAAGAAUCGCAAGCUAUGGAAAAUCCCUACUUAGUAUCACCUGAGGAAAACAAUGGGAGAGCCACCUUUAAAAAAGUAUAGAGUCAGUGCGGGUUUAAAAAAUUUUUUUAAAUUAAAUUUAAAGUAAAAGAAACUAAAAAAUUUUUUUAAUAUAUAUUUUUUUUCUAAAUUUCGUUUUUUUUAUUUAUAGAUUUAAAUUUUCGCGGAAUAAUCAGCCAAUGCGCGCGCAGUAUCCUUUUUGAAAAUGCGCCUUAUAGUUAGUUAUCUUAAGUUGGCAUUCAUGUUUAUCGCCAUUUUUUAUUUAAAGUAGUCAUGUGUUUUACAAAGUAUUUUGUUUAUUUUUAAAAGUUUAAUAGUUUCUUUUAAAUUAAAUUAAUUAGAUAAAGUAAAGUAAUUUGAUAGAGUCAGUGUUUAGUGAAUGUGUGAAAUUAAAAUCUUUAAUCUCUCGUCCGUGGGUGAAGAAAUUAUUUGCACUGAUAACAAACAACAAUCUGAUUGAAUUGAAUAAUAGGCAUUUGGAGGUCAAUCUGGAACAAUUUUUGUCAUCUUUAAAAUUAUCAGGAGUUGGUGUGUCUUCCAUAUACGCAUUUUCUCAACAAGCAGUGAAUUUCGAAUUAUUUAGAUUUUAAGAUAUGUAGGUUAUUUACAGAUCUUUUUUUUUCGUAUGUUAUAAUUUAAAAGAAGCUAACAACUAAAUUAAAUUCUCAAAUUUUUUCAUUGUGUUGAAUAGUAAAUUACAAAAUCGUCAAAACGUUUAUAAUUUUAUUAUAAAUCAGUGUAUAAUUAAAUAUGAUACAAAGAACUUCGAUAAUAUAUUUAUUAUCAUUAAGAUAUAAAAAUGUAUCGACUUUAAUUUUAUCAGGAUCGUUUUUAUAAAAUUACUUUCUUGUAUUUAUAGAUAGCAGCAUCGGGUAUAUUUUAUUAUCGAUAUAUAAAAUUAAAAAAGAAUAUUUUUAAUAAUUUAUUUAAUUCUAAAAUAAUAUAUACAUUUUCUUGAAUAUUUGCCUUUGCUAAAACCGUUUCGUUAAAAAAUUGUUUUUCUAUGAAUAUUUAUUGAUAACAUGAAAAAAGUUGCUAUCAAUAUUUAACAAGUGAUUUUAUUAUAACUUGUUGAGUAUAUUUGUAAUUGUUUUAAGCAAAUUUAAAUUUAUUUUGUAAAUUUUCUUUCAAGUACAAUUUUAUAAAAUCGACAAACUUUCCAUCAGGUUGUAAUAAUUCAGAAAAUUGUCUUCGUUAUAUUUUUUAUAUUAGAUUAGAAAUAAUUGUUUUUUCGUUAAUAAUUUAAGGAAGUGAAUAAAAAAUGAAGAGAUUACUUAAUUACAUGCGUGGUUUGUUAUAUAGAGCUUUGUCCUAUAAAUUGAGCAAAUUAUGUCUCUCUGAUACCGAAUCUCACGCUAUACCUCAUAGUAAUUGCUUGGCUUCUGAUAUACAAUCCCAGCAUGUAGUCCGUUGCCAGUGAUAUUUGUUUUGAGAAACAUAAUUAAUUGCUUCGUCAGGUAUACCACACAAUACUCUGUCUUCGUGUUGAUGACGUUGACACAAUUGAAUGCUUAAUCAUUAAUUCUAGAUAAUUGACUAAUACAUAAC